rnacentral:misc_RNA from 1 species
GAAAUGCGAUAAGUAAUGUGAAUUGCAGAAUUCAGUGAAUCAUCGAAUCUUUGAACGCACCUUGCGCUCCUUGGUAUUCCGAGGAGCAUGCCUGUUUGAGUGUCAUUUAAUUCUCAACCCCUCCAGCCUUUUUGGCUUGGCUUGGUGGCUUGGAUGGUGGGGGAUUUAUGUGCGGGCCUCUUCAAAGGUCGGCUCCCCUGAAAUGCAUUAGCGGAACCGUUUGCGGGAACUGUCACUGGUGUGAUAACUAUCUACACCGACGACAACUGCUCUCUGGGUAACUUCCGCCUCGAAUUGUCCGACCUUGGACAACGAUAUGUCGAAUCCUUGACCUCAAAUCAGGUAGGACUACCCGCUGAACUUAA